CAAUUGGUUACUCUUUAUCUCAAAGAAGCUGACUGCAACUUAGACAUUUAUGCAUAUAUUUUCAUUCCUUUACUAGGUCCCUGUGGCAUAGACACCGAGAACUGGGAAGCCUUGGCCCUUGAGAGCUCUAACUGGAGGUCAGCUGUGACCAGCAGUGCUGCAGAAUUUGAAGUGGCAAGAAUGGAGGGCUUAAAGGAGAAACGUGCCAAUAGGAAGGCGUGUCAAGCCAGCCCUGACCUGGACCACCUUCCACCUGGAAACCGAUGUCCUAACUUCGGAAGAGCAUGUGGGGCUCACCGGGAAACCUUGUAUGAGCAUGCGACAGCCUCUUCAUGUGCUGCAUGAUGCUGAAUAGGAGAGGAGGAGCUGUGACCAGCUGCCACAUGACCCAUUUUGGCCAAAACAACCCAAAAAACAAGGCGGCUGAGCCCUUACCUGAAUGAGCAAGAUUGGCUGAAGAGAACUGACCAAACCGAAUCUGUGCACAAUCCUACAACCUCUCUUCUUCCAUACAUUCUGAACUGGAAUGAAGGUGAGAUUCUCAUCAAUGUUGCCCAAUCAUUUCAGCCAUAGAACAAUAGAAAUUUAGAGCUAUAAGGGGUCACAAAAGAUGUCAACCUCUUAUCUUUAGUAAUACACAACUACAGCACUCCCAAAAAUCUCCAUCACAACCUGGGAUAAUCUAGUUACAGUUGAACACUUCUUACAAUAAUGUAAGUAAUCCUAAUGUAAUGUUAUUAAUCCUAAUGUUGAGGCGGAAUUUCUUCUCUUCUCUUUUGAAUCCAUUGGUUACAGUAUCUGAAGCAGUAGAAAGCAAGCUCUCUCAAUC
rnacentral:lncRNA from 1 species